UCGAGUGUCUGAAGGGCAUUUGGUGGAUGCCUUGGCGCAUAGAGGCGAUGAAGGACGUGGCACGCUGCGAUAAGCCCCGGGGAGCCGUGAGCAGGCUUUGAUCCGGGGAUCUCCGAAUGGGGAAACCCACCUUCGGAUGUCAGAAGCCAGGGAUUGGCAGCUUCAAUCUCUGACUUCUGGCAUCCGGAAAGGUAUCUUGACCUGAAUACAUAGGGUCAAGAAGCGAACCCGGUGAACUGAAACAUCUCAGUAACCGGAGGAAAGGACAUCAACCGAGACUCCCUGAGUAGUGGCGAGCGAAAGGGGACCAGGCCAGUGCUGAUCAUGAUCGAACCGGAACCGUCUGGAAAGGCGGGCCAAAGCGGGUGAUAGCCCCGUACGGGUAGUGUGACUGAUCAGACUUGAGUAGGGCGGGGCACGUGAAACCCUGUCUGAACAUGGGGGGACCACCCUCCAAGCCUAAGUACUCCUAUGCGACCGAUAGUGAACAAGUACCGUGAGGGAAAGGUGAAAAGCACCCCGAUAAGGGGAGUGAAAGAGACCUGAAACCGAAUGCCUACAAACAGUGGGAGCCGCUUCGGCGGUGACCGCGUACCUUUUGUAUAAUGGGUCAGCGAGUUGGUCUGGCAGGCAAGCUUAAGCCGUGAGGUGUAGGCGCAGCGAAAGCGAGUCUUAAUAGGGCGUCAAGUCUGUCGGAUCAGACCCGAAACCGAGUGAUCUAGCCAUGAGCAGGCUGAAGGUGGGGUAACACCCACUGAAGGGCCGAACCCGAUAAUGUUGAAAAAUUACGGGAUGACUUGUGGCUAGGGGUGAAAGGCCAAUCAAACUCGGAAAUAGCUGGUUCUCCGCGAAAUCUAUUUAGGUAGCGCGUCGCGUAUUACCGCCGGGGGUAGAGCACUGGAUGGGCUAGGGGGGCGCGAGCCUUACCAAACCUAACCAAACUCCGAAUACCGGUGAGUACAGCGCGGCAGACAGACGGC
rnacentral:rRNA from 1 species